rnacentral:lncRNA from 1 species
AUUUUUUUGUGGACGGAGGGAGUAGAUAAUUCAUAAUUUAAAAAAUAUUUUUGAUAGUUUAUGAUAAAUUGAUAGUGGAAAAGUAAUUUAAGUUUAUAAUGAAUAUUUUAUUUUUAUUUUGUUAUUAAAAUUGAAUUUUUGUCAUGUGUGUGUGUAUUUUUUUUUUCAUUUUCCUAUUUCAUUAUUUAAACAAUUAUAGCAAUAGAUUAUAUAUAUA